GGGGCUGUAGUUCAGUGGUAGAGUUCUUGCCUAGCGUGUAUGAGGUCCUGGGAUUGAUUCCCAGCAUACACA
rnacentral:tRNA from 1 species